rnacentral:rRNA from 1 species
UAAGGAAUAUUGGUCAAUGGUCGGAAGACUGAACCAGCCAUGCCGCGUGAAGGAUGAAGGCCCUUUGGGUUGUAAACUUCUUUUGAGUGGGAAGAAAUGUGCGUACGUGUACGCAUUUGACGGUACCACUAGAAUAAGCACCGGCUAACUCCGUGCCAGCAGCCGCGGUAAUACGGAGGGUGCGAGCGUUAUCCGGAAUCACUGGGUUUAAAGGGUACGUAGGCGGCCUUAUAAGUCUGGGGUGAAAGGCCACCGCUUAACGGUGGGACUGCCUUGGAUACUGUAGGGCUUGAGUUAGGAUGAGGCUGGCGGAAUGCGUCAUGUAGCGGUGAAAUGCUUAGAUAUGACGUGGAACACCGAUUGCGAAGGCAGCUAGCUGGGCCUGAACUGACGCUGAGGU